rnacentral:rRNA from 1 species
AGUGAACGCUGGCGGUAGGCCUAACACAUGCAAGUCGAACGGCAGCACAGUAAGAGCUUGCUCUUACGGGUGGCGAGUGGCGGACGGGUGAGGAAUACAUCGGAAUCUACUUUUUCGUGGGGGAUAACGUAGGGAAACUUACGCUAAUACCGCAUACGACCUACGGGUGAAAGCAGGGGAUCUUCGGACCUUGCGCGAUUGAAUGAGCCGAUGUCGGAUUAGCUAGUUGGCGGGGUAAAGGCCCACCAAGGCGACGAUCCGUAGCUGGUCUGAGAGGAUGAUCAGCCACACUGGAACUGAGACACGGUCAAGACUCCUACGGGAGGCAGCAGUGUGGAAUAUUGGACAAUGGGCGCAAGCCUGAUCCAGCCAUACCGCGUGGGUGAAGAAGGCCUUCGGGUUGGAAAGCCCUUUUGUUGGGAAAGAAAAGCAGCAGGUUAAUACCCCGCUGUUCUGACGGUACCCAAAGAAUAAGCACCGGCUAACUUCGUG